AACGAACGCUGGCGGCAUGCCUUACACAUGCAAGUCGAACGGCAGCACGGGGCAACCUGGUGGCGAGUGGCGAACGGGUGAGUAAUGCAUCGGAACGUGCCAUUGAGUGGGGGGAUAACUCACCGAAAGGUGAGCUAAUACCGCAUAAGCUCUGAGGAGGAAAGCGGGGGACCGAAAGGCCUCGCGCUGCAGGAGCGGCCGAUGUCCGAUUAGCUAGUUGGUGAGGUAAAGGCUCACCAAGGCGACGAUCGGUAGCUGGUCUGAGAGGAUGAUCAGCCACACUGGGACUGAGACACGGCCCAGACUCCUACGGGAGGCAGCAGUGGGGAAUUUUGGACAAUGGGGGAAACCCUGAUCCAGCCAUGCCGCGUGAGUGAAGAAGGCCUUCGGUGUAAGGACUCUUUCGGUACGGAACGGAAAUUAGCUUGGACUAAUACUCUGAGUAGAUGACGGUACCGUAA
rnacentral:rRNA from 1 species